GCAUAUAUUUUAUAAUGUCCGUGCUUUUCUUUAUUAAUUUCCUUUCCUUACAUUCAUUUAAGAAUACUAGUAUGAUAUUAUGUGCAUUGAAGUUUUCCUCAUAGAUGUAUUCAAUUACACUUGUAAAUAUCCGUUUUAAUCAUACACCUUUGAAAAAAAAGUUUCCUCAAAAUUUACACUGUUGUUUGGUAUAAUGCAUUCACUCUGUAGCAAGUUUUAAUUGGUUUAUAUAAGAACAGGAUUAACAUGUCUUAUCUAAACAUUGAAUUUUAACUGUUUGGAAAGAUGACUGAAUGAAAAGUGUUCAUCCAUGAUGCAGUAAAGUUCCCAAUUUUGAAACUCCCUUUCUAAUAUAGAUUAAAUUAAACAGAAUUUUUUUUUUAAAUUCUAAGUAUCAGGUUGAGACCGUUCUCUCAAGGACUGCAGUGGCCAUGAAUAAUCAGAGUGUUUAUUGGGACUAAAAUAUUCAAUCUAAGCUAAGUAUAUGUAUUUUUAUAUUAACAUAUUCACUUCAUGUUUAAAUGAUCCUUUUCAUAUUGAUGAGCUCGCAUAAAAAGUCUUCGUUUUUCAAAAGUCUGACUAAUGUUAUAUAUUUAAUCCUAGAAGAAUAGGAAAUUAGAAGAGAUAUAGUGUCUUUUCCUCAUUAUAUUAUCCACUGUGUUUGGACGGAAAUACCUAUUGCUAAAAAAAGUAAAUACAGCAGUAGACGCUAUGUAUGUCAGUAAAUGCUUAAUUAUGACAUUGUAAAUAAAAUUAUUAACCACAGAACCCCCAAAAAGAAACAACCACUCUUUUAAACCUAAUUUUAUUAAUGCAAUUGGAUCUUGAUUAAAAAGGCCUUCUUGCAAUAUAAGACAGACAGACAGACAGACAGAUAGAUAUAGAAGAACCGUUAACUCUAUCACAUAUAUCUGGAAAAAAUGUAUGCUUUAGUAGAAACAUAGUAAUAAAGAGAAAAUGAGAAAACAAAAUUUAACAAGGGUCGAUUAUUUUAUCAGGACUUCUCUUCUCUUUUCCUUAUUAAGAUCAGUACCAUCCACUUGAUACCUGUUUAGUAAUGCCACUAAGGCCCUGUGUAUAUACGAUACACAUCUCUGUCUUGGUUUUACAUCAAGCUGCUGCAGAUGGCUCUUUUUAGUUUGAAUUUUUACGUGCAUGUUCUCUGUAUUUCUAUUUGUGUACAGUAUCUAAACCUGUCAACAUGCUGACAAGUAAACAUGACAUAUAAUACAACAUGCGUUCCACAGAUGUUCUUGCUUAAAAAUCAUGAAAUAUCGAUAGAUUGCUAUUUUGGUUGUUCGUGCAUAUUAUGCAAGUUUUUUCACUCAUCAGCUUACAAAUGAUGUAAUUGAAUUUAUGUUUUUAAUUAUAAAUUUCAUCUGAGAUCUGAUCAGUAGUUUAAAAUGGAUGAACAAAAAUAAGCUUCUAUCAAUCCAAACAACAGAUGUUUUCAUUCUAUGCAAGAAUCAGGUUCACGCAGAAUUGUUGCAGAGAGAGUUUAGGUAGUCUAUUACUUAACCCAGUCAGGCAUUUCGGAAAAAUGAAAUCCGGUCAUGUGAUCAGCAUAAACCAAUAGGAGUUUUCAUGAUUGAUCUGCAUCUAAAACGUAGAAAACUAUAAAUUGACUGAUAUCAUCGAUGUUUCAUAUACUGGAGCUAGCUCGUCAAGGUGGUGAAUUGGUACAAAUAGUUUAAUACCACAUUGGCAGUCGUUACACCAGAUUUCAAGAAUGAACAAUCUACUAUGUUUCGUUCUUAUCCUGACUUUUUUGACAGUUGAUGCCAUUGAUUCUGAAUGCUGGAUAUGUUCUUGCAACCUGAGAUCCAAUUGUAGACCCGUGGCGUGCGUAUGGGAUUUAAAACAAUGUGGAUCCCUUAAGUUUACAGAAGAAUAUUGGGAUACGUGUGGAAACCCCGGAUCAAGUUUUAAAGCGUGUAAAGCCCACUACCCUUGUGUUUAUGAAUGUUUUAAAUUCUACAAGAACAACCCCACCUCACACAGUGGCUGCUCAGCAGAGUGUAAACCUCAUAUCAAAGAUCACAGCAGCAGCAUUCCAGCUGACGAUCCAUACCUGAAGUACAUUCAAAGUCUCAGUAAAUAGGACAGGGAUACUAUCAGCUGGUGGUUAAAUAAGAAGGAAUCUAGUAAAACGCACACCUUUAAACAAUCGUGUUGUUUCAUAUAGAAUAAAAAAUUUAAAUUUUA